rnacentral:rRNA from 1 species
UACGUAGGGACCGAGCGUUGUCCGGAUUCAUUGGGCGUAAAGAGCUCGUAGGCGGUUUGUCACGUCUGCUGUGAAAUCCCGAGGCUCAACCUCGGGCCUGCAGUGGGUACGGGCAGACUGGAGUGCGGUAGGGGAGAAUGGAAUUCCUGGUGUAGCGGUGGAAUGCGCAGAUAUCAGGAGGAACACCGAUGGCGAAGGCAGUUCUCUGGGCCGUAACUGACGCUGAGGAGCGAAAGCGUGGGGAGCGAACAGG